rnacentral:rRNA from 1 species
AUUGAACGCUGGCGGCAUGCCUUACACAUGCAAGUCGAACGGCAGCACGGGUGCUUGCACCUGGUGGCGGGUGGCGAACGGGUGAGUAAUACAUCGGAACAUGUCCUGUAGUGGGGGAUAGCCCGGCGAAAGCCGGAUUAAUACCGCAUACGAUCUACGGAUGAAAGCGGGGGACCUUCGGGCCUCGCGCUAUAGGGUUGGCCGAUGGCUGAUUAGCUAGUUGGUGGGGUAAAGGCCUACCAAGGCGACGAUCAGUAGCUGGUCUGAGAGGACGACCAGCCACACUGGGACUGAGACACGGCCCAGACUCCUACGGGAGGCAGCAGUGGGGAAUUUUGGACAAUGGGCGAAAGCCUGAUCCAGCAAUGCCGCGUGUGUGAAGAAGGCCUUCGGGUUGUAAAGCACUUUUGUCCGGAAAGAAAUCCUUGGCUCUAAUACAGUCGGGGGAUGACGGUAACGGAAGAAUAAGCACCGGCUAACUACGUG